rnacentral:rRNA from 1 species
GACGUAGGGCGCGAGCGUUGUCCGGAAUUAUUGGGCGUAAAGAGCUCGUAGGCGGUCUGUCGCGUCGAUCGUGAAAACUUGGGGCUUAACCCUGAGCUUGCGGUCGAUACGGGCAUGACUGGAGUUCGGCAGGGGAGACUGGAAUUCCUGGUGUAGCGGUGAAAUGCGCAGAUAUCAGGAGGAACACCGGUGGCGAAGGCGGCCCCCUGGUUGGAUACUGACGCUGAUACGCGAAAGCGUGGGGAGCAAACAGG